rnacentral:rRNA from 1 species
CCUACGGGUGGCAGCAGUGAGGAAUAUUGGUCAAUGGGCGCGAGCCUGAACCAGCCAAGUAGCGUGAAGGAUGACUGCCCUACGGGUUGUAAACUUCUUUUAUAAAGGAAUAAAGUGAGGCACGAGUGCCUUUUUGUAUGUACUUUAUGAAUAAGGAUCGGCUAACUGCGUCCCAGCAGCCGCGGUAAUACGGAGGAUCCGAGCGUUAUCCGGAUUUAUUGGGUUUAAGGGGAGCGUAGAUGGGUUGUUAAGUAAGUUGGGAAAGUUUGCGGCUCAACCGUAAAAUUGCAAUUGAUACUGGCAGUCUUGAGUACAGUUGAGGUAGGCGGAAUUCGUAGUGUAGCGGUGAAAUGCUUAGAUAUCACGAAGAACUCCGAUUGCGAAGGCAGCUUUCUAAACUGCCACUGACAUUGAUGCUCGAAAGUGUGGGUAUCAAACAGGAUUAGAUACCCGAGUAGUC